AUGAGUGUUCCAGAAGCUGGCGGGAUGCAGAGUUGUCUCCUGCACACACAGACUCCAUGGCAACCGCAACUCCGUGACAACAGCAGAGGAAUUUGCCAGCCCAGAGAGCGGACCAUCUGGGAGGCCAAACCCUCCACAUGCUGCCCCAUCUCGGUGCUCACGUCCAGGGAACUUCUGCACAAAGCAGAGGUGACCUUUCAGUGGCAUAAGAAUAAACAGUGGGUGCCUGUGAAAUCCCUUGAAAGUAUGCAUUUACUGUCCCAGAGCAACAGAAGAGGAAGCAACAGGGACGAGAUUUGCACUGACAGGCAAGGUGACCCCUGACCAGCUUAGCCCGGCCGCAGGGGACAGUCCCCCUCCCCUCCUGUGAGGAUCUAGGAGAGCUGCUCUGUCUAUGAAGCCCGCCAUAUCCCUUGGCUUCACUGUGGAAAACAGCAUGGGAAUUCUUCAAAAAAUUAAAUGUGGAUCUACAGACUCCCCUUCUGAGUAUACACCCAAAAUCAUUAAAAGCGGGGACUCAAUCAAAUGUCUGUGCACCUGUUCACAGCGUCGUUAGUCACAAUGGCCCAAAGGCGGAGACAACCUAUUUACCCACAGGCCAAUGAAUGAAUAAGCAAAGGGGGUCCACACACAGACCGAUGAGUGGAUGAGCAACAGGGAGCCACACACACUAGAAGGUAUUAUUAAUAUUCAAUCUUUAAAAAAGAAGUUCUGGCAGAUGCUACAGCCUGGAUGAGCCUUGGCGGCAGUAUGCUCAGUGAGAUAAGCCGGUCACCAAAGGCCAAAUGCUGUAGGAUCCCACUUACACAAGGGACCCAAUGUAGUCUUGUUCACAGAGACAGA
rnacentral:lncRNA from 1 species